rnacentral:rRNA from 1 species
CAGUCGCCGCGGGAAAACGAAGGGUGCAAGCGUUAAUCGGAAUUACUGGGCGUAAAGCGUGCGUAGGCGGUUUGUUAAGUCUGCUGUGAAAUCCCCGGGCUCAACCUGGGAAUGGCAGUGGAUACUGGCAAGCUAGAGUGUGUCAGAGGGGGGUAGAAUUCCACGUGUAGCAGUGAAAUGCGUAGAGAUGUGGAGGAAUACCGAUGGCGAAGGCAGCCCCCUGGGCCAAUACUGACGCUCAUGCACGAAAGCGUGGGGAGCGAACAGGAUUAGAUACCCGAGUAGUCCCUGUCUCUUAUAC